GGAGUUUGGUCCGUGUCUCAGUACCAAUGUGGGGGACCUUCCUCUCAGAACCCCUACUGAUCGUCGCCUUGGUGGGCCGUUACCUCACCAACUAGCUAAUCAGACGCGGGUCCAUCUUAUCCCGAUAAAUCUUUUCACACUGUUUCAUGCGAAACUGUGCGCUUAUGCGGUAUUAGCAGUAAUUUCUCACUGUUAUCCCCCUGGAUAAGGCAGGUUACCCACGCGUUACUCACCCGUCCGCCACUAAGAUUACAACUUAGCAAGCUAAAAAGUAAUCUCCGUUCGACUUGCAUGUGUUAAGCACGCCGCCAGCGUUCAUC
rnacentral:rRNA from 1 species